UUUACCCGCGCAAUUAUCCUCGUAAUUGCCCACGGACUUACUUCGUCCUUACUUUUCUGCCUAGCAAAUUCAAACUACGAGCAAAACCACAGCCGAAUCAUAUUACUCUCUCGAGGACUUCAAACUUGACUUCCACUAAUAGCCUUUUGAUGACUUACAGCAAAUCUCACCAACCUUGCCCUACCCCCCACUAUUAAUCUAAUAGGAGAACUCCUUGUAACAAUGGCUUCAUCCUCCUGAUCAAACAUUACUAUCAUGCUCAUAGGACUUAAUAUAUUAAUCACAGCCAUUUAUUCCCUCUACAUACUUGUCACAACACAACGAGGAGCACUUACAUACUAUAUUAACAGCAUUAAACCAUCCUUUACACGAGAAAAUAUACUAAUAUGUAUACACCUUUCACCCAUUGUCCUACGAUCUCUAAAUCCUAAAAUUAUUAUAGGAUUUCUAACCUGUAAAUAUAGUUUAAUCAAAACGUUAGAUUGUGGGUCUAAUAAUAGAAGCCUUCAACUUCUUAUUUCCCAGGAAAGUACGUAAGAACUACUAACUCAGGCCCCCAUGCCUAACAACACGGCUUUCUCAACUUUUAGAGGAUGAGAGUUAUCCAUUGGUCUUAGGAACCAAAAAUAUUUGUGCAAUUCCAAAUAAAAGUAAUAACCAUGUAUUUUUCCAUUACUAUAAUAACCUUAAUCUCCUUAACCUUACCAAUUAUUAUUGCCUUCACCAACCCUGGUAAGAAGAACUCGUAUCCAUAUUACGUAAAAAGCUAUCUCAAGCACUUUCGCCAUUAGCCUCCUUCCGGCAACAAUAUUUAUGUGUACAGACCAAGAAGCCAUCAUCUCAAACUGAUAUUGAAUAACAAUCCAAACCCCAAAACUCUCAUUAAGCUUCAAACUAGACUACUUCCCAAAUGUUUAUUCCAGUAGCACUAUUUAUCACUUGAUCUAUUAUAGAAUUCUCAUAUGGUAUAUAAAGUCAGAUCCAAACAUUAAUCAGUUUUUCCAAUAUCUACACAUCUUCCUCACCACAAUAUUAAUCCUAGUUACCGCCAACAACUCUUUCCAACUUUUUAUUGGAUGAGAAGGCGUAGGAAUUAUAUCUUUUCUAUUAAUUGGCUGAUGGCAUGGCCGAGCAGAUGCUCACACGGCAGCCCUCCAAGCAAUUCUAUAUAAUUGCAUUGGUGAUCUUGGCUUUAUUUUAGCUAUAGCAUGAUUCCUGUCAUCCUCCAAUACAUGAGAGCCUCAACAAAUACUGAUCCUAAACACUACCCGGAUCUUCUUCCAUUAAUUGGUUUUCUCUUAGCAGCAGCAGGAAAAUCAGCCCAACUUGGCCUCCACCCGUGACUUCCUUCCGCGAUGGAAGGCCCAACCCCAGUCUCAGCCCUUCUUCACUCUAGCAUGAUAGUUGUCGCAGGAGUUUUCCUACUGAUCCGCUUCCACCCCCUAAU
rnacentral:lncRNA from 1 species